CCCCCGGCGCGGGGACCGGGUCGUCGCGUGCCGGCCGGGGGACGGACUGGGAACGGCUCCCUCGGGGGCCUUCCCCGGGCGUCGAACAGCCAACUCAGAACUGGUACGGACAAGGGGAAUCCGACUGUUUAAUUAAAACAAAGCAUUGCCAUGGUCCCUGCGGAUGCUCACGCAAUGUGAUUUCCG